GACGAACGCUGGCGGCGUGCCUAAUACAUGCAAGUCGACCUUAGUGGCGAACGGGUGAGUAACACGUGGGUAACCUGCCCAUCAGAAGGGGAUAACACUUGGAAACAGGUGCUAAUACCGUAUACUGAUGGAUGGAACCGCGGUGCAUUAGCUAGUUGGUGAGGUAAAGGCUCACCAAGGCCACGAGGCAUAGCCGACCUUAGAGGGUGAUCGGCCACAUUGGGACUGAUACACGGCCCAAACUCCUACGGGAGGCAGCAGUGGGGAAUCUUUGGCAAUGGACGAAAGUCUGACCGAGCCACGCCGCGUGAGUGAAGAAGGUUUUCGGAUCGUAAAACUCUGUUGUUAGAGAAGCGGUAUCUAACCAGAAAGCCACGGCUAACUACGUGCCAGCAGCCGCGGUAAUUC
rnacentral:rRNA from 1 species